rnacentral:misc_RNA from 1 species
UUAAAAAAAAAAAAAAAUUAAUUUGUCUUGUUAUUUGCUUCUUGUCAUGUACUUCAACGAAGUAAUGGAGAUGUGUGGUUACCCAUUAGCUGCUAGAUAAAACUAUUCUCAUCUGUUAAUUGAAUUUUAUUUCUGUUUGACUUUAUCUUAUUCUCAUGUCUUCAUAAUAGCUAUAGGGGCAUAGUUUAGUAUAUCCUAUUUUUAUAAGUUACAAGAUAAUGCUGGCUCAAAAAAGAAAGUUACGAGAUGAUGCUGUUGGGAGAAAUACUAUUUUAACAUUUUUUUUCCCAUUUUCGACUAUAUGCUUGCUUAUUAUUACCAUUUUCAUUGGUUAUACUUGUACCAGACAAUGUUACUGGGGGCACAGCUGUUUCAACAGUUUAUUUAAUCUUGGAUUAGUUAUAGGCAUUUGUUUGGGGCACUAAACUAAUC